rnacentral:sRNA from 1 species
CUGGCUCUAUAGUUAAGAGUUAUUAAUGAAAUCAAAAGUAAAAGUAAAUUCUUAGUAUCCCAUCGUAAAAGUUGUUGUUCUAAUAUUUCCCUUACCUGAUUCGUUACAUUAAAUAAUUCAUGCUAAAGCGAAUUGGCGCAUCAGCGCAUCAUUCAAUGAAUUUUAUAAAAUAAGGGACAAAUUAUGUCUAACAAAGCAACUGGCACAGUAAAAUGGUUUAACGAAACUAAAGGUUUUGGUUUCCUAUCUCAAGACAACGGCGGCGCAGAUGUAUUCGUACAUUUCAAUGCUAUCGCUUCUGAAGGUUUUAAAACUCUUAUUGAAGGCCAAAAAGUAUCUUUCAUCGUUGAAAAUGGUCAAAAAGGUUUACAAGCUGCUCAAGUUGUAACUCUAUAAUAGACUGAUACUUAUCAGAAUAUAUAAAAGGUCGCUUAGGCGACCUUUUUGC